UUCUCUUUCUUCUUCUUCUUCUUCUUCUUCUUCUUCUCUUUCUUUCUUCAAUGUUUUUCGUUUGUUGACGAUUUUGAGAAUCAGUUCCUGAUUCUGAGUUGAUUUAAAGCUUGUAGAGAUCGAAGGUUAAUUGAUGGUGGUAGUUUUGAUAGAUCCGAUGAAAUCAAACCCAACAUAAAAGGGGGAGAAGCUGAGCUUAAUUGAACUGGUAGUUGCAGUGGCAGUUGGAAGUAUGAGAUGAUGAUGCAGUUGCAGAGUGGAGAAUCUGUUUUGGUUGUGUAUAGUAAUUGAAGUUAAAGUUGUAGCUAAUGAAUAAAGGCAGAUGAUAAGUGGUGAUCUUGUUGAAAAAUAUAGUCUGGUGGUGUAUUUGAAUGGUUAUGUGUGUGUGUGUUAGAAAUGAAGAUACUAUGGAUUGAUCAAUACAAGGAUUUAGAGAUAAAGAUGUUGAUUAUGCAUGAUGUAUGGUUAGGUUGUUAUGGUGGUUUGAGUGAACUGUUCAAAUGAAUCCUAGUGAUGUUGUUGUUGGUAUUGUGAAAUGCAAGGUGAAUGUAAAUAAACUAGGAAUGGAUAUGUAUGAAUUUGUUGAGAGGAUCUGGAACUGUGAGUGUUAGUGGUUCAGGUUGGAUGGCAAUGUGUUUGGGUUGAAGCUUGGAGAGAUGAGUUAGGAGAUGUGUGAUUCUGAUGUAGGUAUAAACUACGGUAAGAGCUGUAAUGUUGUGUAAGAUAAAGGAUGAGAGUUUGUUCGUAUUGAAGUGAAGUUAAGAUAGUAGAGUUACUGAUUUGUUA